UACGUAGGGGGCAAGCGUUGUCCGGAUUUAUUGGGCGUAAAGAGCGUGUAGGCGGCCAGGUAGGUCAGCUGUGAAAACUCGAGGCUCAACCUCGAGACGCCGGUUGAAACCAUCUGGCUAGAGUCCGGAAGAGGAGGAGUGGAAUUCCUGGUGUAGUGGUGAAAUGCGCAGAUAUCAGGAAGAACACCCGUGGCUAAGGCGGC
rnacentral:rRNA from 1 species